CAGCACCUCAAGUGGUCAGGAUGAUUAUUGGGCCUAAAGCAUCCGUAGCCGGCUCUGUAAGUUUUCGGUUAAAUCUGUACGCUCAACGUACAGGCUGCCGGGAAUACUGCAGCGCUAGGGAGUGGGAGAGGUAGACGGUACUCGGUAGGAAGGGGUAAAAUCCUUUGAUCUAUUGAUGACCACCUGUGGCGAAGGCGGUCUACCAGAACACGUCCGACGGUGAGGGAUGAAAGCUGGGGGAGCAAACCGGAUUAGAGACCCGUGUAGUCC
rnacentral:rRNA from 1 species